GGAAUGGUGGCGCAGUGUUUAGCACUGCUGCCUUGCGAUCAGGAGGUGCCGAGUUCAAGCCCUGGCCAGCCA